AGCGGCGGACGGGUGAGUGACGCGUGGGUAACCUGCCUCAUACAGGGGGAUAACAGUUGGAAACGGCUGCUAAUACCGCAUAAGCGCACAGUACCGCAUGGUACGGUGUGAAAAACUCCGGUGGUAUGAGAUGGACCCGCGUCUGAUUAGGUAGUUGGUGGGGUAACGGCCUACCAAGCCGACGAUCAGUAGCCGACCUGAGAGGGUGACCGGCCACAUUGGGACUGAGACACGGCCCAA
rnacentral:rRNA from 1 species